GCGCCCGUAGCUCAGCUGGUCAGAGCGGGCCGCUCAUAACGGCUUGGUCGCAGGUUCGAACCCUGCCGGGCGCA
rnacentral:tRNA from 1 species